GACGAACGCUUGCGGCGUGCUUAACACAUGCAAGUCGAACGGAAAGGCCCUGCUUUUGUGGGGUGCUCGAGUGGCGAACGGGUGAGUAACACGUGAGUAACCUGCCCUUGACUUUGGGAUAACUUCAGGAAACUGGGGCUAAUACCGGAUAGGAGCUCCUGCUGCAUGGUGGGGGUUGGAAAGUUUCGGCGGUUGGGGAUGGACUCGCGGCUUAUCAGCUUGUUGGUGGGGUAGUGGCUUACCAAGGCUUUGACGGGUAGCCGGCCUGAGAGGGUGACCGGCCACAUUGGGACUGAGAUACGGCCCAGACUCCUACGGGAGGCAGCAGUGGGGAAUAUUGCACAAUGGGCGGAAGCCUGAUGCAGCAACGCCGCGUGCGGGAUGACGGCCUUCGGGUUGUAAACCGCUUUCGCCUGUGACGAAGCGUGAGUGACGGUAAUGGGUAAAGAAGCACCGGCUAACUACGUGCCAGCAGCCGCGGUGAUACGUAGGGUGCGAGCGUUGUCCGGAUUUAUUGGGCGUAAAGGGCUCGUAGGUGGUUGAUCGCGUCGGAAGUGUAGUCUUGGGGCUUAACCCUGAGCGUGCUUUCGAUACGGGUUGACUUGAGGAAGGUAGGGGAGAAUGGAAUUCCUGGUGGAGCGGUGGAAUGCGCAGAUAUCAGGAGGAACACCAGUGGCGAAGGCGGUUCUCUGGGCCUUUCCUGACGCUGAGGAGCGAAAGCGUGGGGAGCGAACAGGCUUAGAUACCCUGGUAGUCCACGCUGUAAACGGUGGGUACUAGGUGUGGGGUCCAUUCCACGGGUUCCGUGCCGUAGCUAACGCUUUAAGUACCCCGCCUGGGGAGUACGGCCGCAAGGCUAAAACUCAAAGGAAUUGACGGGGCCCCGCACAAGCGGCGGAGCAUGCGGAUUAAUUCGAUGCAACGCGUAGAACCUUACCUGGGUUUGACAUGGAUCGGGAGUGCUCAGAGAUGGGUGUGCCUCUUUUGGGGUCGGUUCACAGGUGGUGCAUGGCUGUCGUCAGCUCGUGUCGUGAGAUGUUGGGUUAAGUCCCGCAACGAGCGCAACCCUUGUUCACUGUUGCCAGCACGUUAUGGUGGGGACUCAGUGGAGACCGCCGGGGUCAACUCGGAGGAAGGUGGGGAUGACGUCAAGUCAUCAUGCCCCUUAUGUCCAGGGCUUCACGCAUGCUACAAUGGCUGGUACAGAGAGUGGCGAGCCUGUGAGGGUGAGCGAAUCUCGGAAAGCCGGUCUCAGUUCGGAUUGGGGUCUGCAACUCGACCUCAUGAAGUCGGAGUCGCUAGUAAUCGCAGAUCAGCAACGCUGCGGUGAAUACGUUCCCGGGGCU
rnacentral:rRNA from 1 species